rnacentral:rRNA from 1 species
UACGCAGGGUGCGAGCGUUAAUCGGAAUUACUGGGCGAAAAGCGUGCGCAGGCGGUUUUGUAAGCCAGAUGUGAAAUCCCCGGGCUUAACCUGGGAAUGGCAUUUGGGACUGCAAGGCUGGAGUGCGGCAGAGGAGACUGGAAUUCCUGGUGUAGCAGUGAAAUGCGUAGAUAUCAGGAGGAAUACCGAUGGCGAAGGCAGGUCUCUGGGCUGACACUGACGCUCAUGCACGAAAGCGUGGGGAGCAAACAGG